CCGGCUGGUCUUCCCACCCGCCUGGCGCUGGGCCCCCUGCCCCCCACCUGAGGCGGCGAUCCCUCUGCCCUCCCUCCUCUGCUCCCCGCCUGUCAGCUUAAUUGAACAAGGAUGCGGGAGAGGUUUGAUUUAAUCAAGCCGGUCGCUGUAUCCAUUCUGCUCUGAGGUCCCCGGGUGUCACCACCGAGGCUCAGAUUAGACGGUGACAAUUACUUUUUCUUCCCUGGCUGUUGCCUCCCCUCCCCUCCUGUCCCAGGAGGGACCUGGGAGGCAGGCCAGGCUCCUGGGACCGAAGAACGAUGCGCAGGAUCAAAGGAGGGACUCGUCUGGCCGGAGAAAGCCCCUGUCUGCCUUACACCGCCUUGUUUGGAGCGGAGAGGCAGCCGAGGGGUGGGGGAGAGAACAUGUGAGCGGCGCUGCCUCCCAGCGGCUCGAGGCGCCUGAGGACAGAGCUGAGCAGCAUCUGUGCCAUCGUCGAUGGCCCCGGAGAUAAACCCAGUUCGCCUCAUUGUCAGGUGCUCUGCCUGGAUUCUGGGGUCCGGAGCUGGGAAACAGCAACAAAAACAGGGCCAGGUUAUUUAUUAUGCCGCCCGGACGGGAAUGAAUGGGGCCCCUUCUCACACGGAGAAGAGCAAACGUGACGCCUUCCUCCCUGAAGACGGAGGCUGUGAUAUUAAAGGGGGCAAUUAAUCACCGCGGGCCUGGGCGGAGCGGCGUCCCGCUGGAGAGAGGGAGGAUGGUCUGGCAGGAGAGCUGGGUCUUCGGCAGCGACGGGUUUGAGUUCUGCAGACCGCUCCUGUGGGC